rnacentral:rRNA from 1 species
GAUGAACGCUAGCGGCAGGCCUAAUACAUGCAAGUCGAACGGUCCGCUUCGGCGGAUAGGGGCGCACGGGUGCGUAACACGUAUGCAACCUACCUUACAUUGGGGGAUAGCCUUUCGAAAGGGAGAUUAAUACCGCAUAAGACAGUAGCUGGGCAUCCAGUAGCUGUUAAAGAUUUAUCGAUGUAAGCUGGGCAUGCGUCCAAUUAGUUAGUUGGUGAGGUAACGGCUCACCAAGACGAUGAUUGGUAGGGGAACUGAGAGGUCAAUCCCCCCCACUGGCACUGAGAUACGGGCCAGACUCCUACGGGAGGCAGCAGUAGGGAAUAUUGGGCAAUGGACGCAAGUCUGACCCAGCCAUGCCGCGUGCAGGAAGAAGGCGUUCUGCGUUGUAAACUGCUUUUAUAUAGGAAGAAACGACCCUUGCGAGGGGCAUUGACGGUAUUAUAUGAAUAAGCACCGGCUAACUCCGUGCCAGCCGCCGCCGUAACAC